CUUCUGAUCAUGUCAAUUCCAUCGCGCUGCAGCCUGUCACCUUUGAAAGUUAAAAUAAUAACUUAACACGCCAAUCUCAACACCAAAGACCACUGACAGAAUGGAAACCAACCUCGGAGAUAUCAUGCUUGAAUGUCUACGGAGGCCUCUGAGAAGAGUCCGGGGAAUCCUGAGCUGCUGUUUUCCUGCCAACUCUGAAAAAUUUUCAAUAGAAGAAACGUCUCCAGUACACCAUGUCCCAAGCUCCGUCCGUCCAUUUUUGGAGAGUUAAUGGAGUUUAGUUCAUCUGAUUACAUCAACCCAAUUGCAGAAUUGUGGGACUUUGAUUUGGAGUUUGUAAGUUUAAAAGAAGCACUUUUGAGAAGAUGGAUCCACUUCUCUUUCACUCAAAAUUGUCGUCGCUCCAGUCCCCCAUAUUUAUCCCUGAGACAAACUCCCAACAGAAGCACGUUUCAAGAGGACACGCACAGUUGGCGAGUUCAGUGGUGGAACGUCUUCUCUACUGCAUUCAAGGCAGCAACCCAGUAGCGUGCCCGCUCCUCUGGGACAGGUUGCACCAGCUGUACUUAUGUUACAUCUUAGAAUAGUUAUAGCUUGAAUGGGCACAAAGUUACAAUUUACCUACUUCUAAAUGUUUGAGCGUUGCACCCUUAAACUUAUUCUAAGUAUAAACUAUAUAUAAACUAAAUAUUUACUGAAGACACCAACUACGAAUAACAGUUGGUAUAAAAAAUGACUGAUUGAAUUACAUGUUUUGCAUAACUUCAAUACUUUAGACCUGCACUCACUGAGCACUUUAUUAGGAACACUAUUGUCCUAAUAAAUUGCCCGACAUAGUCUUCUGCUGUUGCAGCCCAUCCGCCUCACGGUUCAACUUGUUGUUUAUUCUGAGAUGCUAUUCCGCUCACUACAAUUGUACAGAGUGGUUAUCUGAGUUACAGUUCACUUUGUCAGUUCAAACCAGUCUGGCCAUUCUCUGUUGAUCUCUCUCAUCAACAAGACAUUUCUGUCCGCAGAACUGCCACUCACUGGAUGUUUUUUGUUUUUGGCACCAUUCUGAGUAAACUCUAGAGACUGUUGUGUGUGAAACUCCCAGGAGAUCAGCAGAUACAAAAAUACUCAAACCUGCCCAUCUGGCACCAACAAACAUGCCACGAUCAAAAUCACUGAGAUCAAAUUUUUUUCUCCAUUCUGAUGGUUGAGUUGAACAUUAACUGAAGCGCCUGACCCGUAUAUGCACUAUUUUAUGCACUAUUUUCACAUGAUUGGCUAAUUAGAUAAUCGCAUAAGUACAGUAUGUGUACAGGUGUUCCUAAUAAAGUGCUCAGUGAGUGUAUGGUCAUUCCAAUCGACCGAUAGUACCGUGCAAAGUAGACUUCACAUGUUAUUUAGCAAUCUUAAGUGAGAUUACAAUCCGAAAGUGAGCAUAGGGCACUCCAAACGGCAUAGGGAAUAAGGGUACAUCGAUACAUGACAACAGUCAUUUAUCUUAAAGGUUAUGGAUAAAUAUUAAUUUAAAUAUAUAUAUAUAUAUAUUUAAUAAGAAUACACAUGGAUUUAUUAUAUACAUUUAAGUAUGUGGAUUUAAGGUAAUUUAUAUUACAUUUAUAUGCAUUUACAGGAUAUAAGUAUAUUAUGUCAUCUUACAUGAAACCAGUCAUCUGCUUGACUUGAAGCGUUGUCUGUGUUUGUUGUUGCAGGAUAUUACAAAUGACAAGUUUUGUGAAGUGAAGUGAACUUUAACAGAUAUCUCAUGCUCAGUUAUUAGGGAGCAGUGAACACUGUGUAGGGACCCUGCAAAUCGGAACGCAGCUAUAAUGUAUGAUGUUUGCAUUUACGAGAGGAUCCAUUUGACUUCUUUGUAACUCUUCAGGCUGAAACCGAUCUAAACUGUGCACUUUCCAGUGCUGUCACUGGCAUGCCAAGUUUCAAAACGUACAAAAUAUGUAUAGAAUAGUAAAAGGAACCAAUGUAAAUUAGUAUUAAUAUUUAUUCACUGCCCUUAUUUAUACACUUCCUAAAUAUUUGUAUUAUUAUUUAUGUACAUAUUUAGAUAAAAGGCUACUAUUUUGUAUAUUUAGCCUAGAGAUUUUUUGCGUAUUGUAUUUUAAUGGAAUUGUUACCGAUGACUGUUACGUGAUACGGGUUUGAACGUCAACCUUUGCAAGAUAACGCAUGGCCUUUCAACACUUCUGUUUACAAAUUUGAAGGCUGCUUGUUGGAUCAGUAAAGGUGAAUGUCAUAUUAUGCGAUUUUACAUUGCUUUAUGGAGAGCUUACGCUAAGUAUUGUAUUAAGAACAGGUGGUGCAACCAAAUUAAGCACUAAAUUAGAUACAAACUAACUAGUAGUCACUAAGCCCACAGUUUGAACUUAAUGCCCCAACUUAAGAGACCUUCCACACAGCUGGUGCAGCCCUGCCCUGGAGGCUACUCCUCUGGAUGCACAAGUAGUGCCUGCCUUGUGCCUUCCCUCUCCUGGACUCUGAAGGACGGGACCCUCCCAGAAGUGGAUACAGCACACUUCUUAAAUGAAUACAACUCUUGUAAUCUGGACCCAACAUACAAUUUAGAUACUAAAUUGGAUCAGCAUGAUCACAAGAGAUGUUGGCACGAUGUUUACAUUUAUGCAUUUGUGACUUACAGUGCACUUAUUACUGGGACAAUCCCCCCGGAGCAACCUGGAGUUAAGUGCCUUGCUCAAGGACACAAUGGUGGUGGCUGUGAGGCUCGAACCAGCAACCUUCUGAUUAAGUUAUGUGCUUUAGCCCACUACACCACCACCACUCCAUGUUUCUGAAAGUUCCGAUCAAACAUUUAUGUAUCAGCUCCAGUGUAUUUACUUUCCCUUGUGGUGUGACUGGAAGCAUGUUGCAUCAGCAGCAUAGGACACCAUCACAUCAUUCAUCACACUGGAAAUUGAAGAUCAAGUAAAGCACAUUGCAUUUGGGGAUACAGUACCCAGCACAGUAAAUGCACUAUUUUCUAGAAAUCUUGACAAACGUACUGUAGUAGGUCAUCUCAGUACUAUGCACAGUAUAGGUACUAUAGAAAUAGAAUGGUAGUUUGCUAGCCAAAAUGUCUUUUGUUUUAGAGCUAGCCACAGCACCCUCAGGGUAUAUAAUGAUUUAUUGCCAGCAAUGGAUAUUGGUAGUGUGUUACCUUAUUGGAUCUUUAGGCUGCCUUUUUGUUAUACUGCUGGUUGCUUAAACUGUCUAAGGCAGAGGCCUGGCAUUCAGGGCAUGGUGCUUUACUUCCUACCUGAAUGAUACAAGUGUUCCUGUAGCUCAAGUGGUAUUGCUUGGUGCUAGCAGUGCCAAGAUCAUGGGUUUGAUUCCCAUGAGUCACACAAACUGGUACACUUGAAUGUACUGUUAAGUUGCUCUGGAUAAAAGUGUCUGCCAAAUGUGAAAUACUUUUUAUUGUAUUUCAGUUGUACUCAACUUUUCAGUACUGUCUACUAAACAUCCUUGACAUCGUUUUUGAUUUGACCAACCACUGUACGGACUGCCUAACCUGUCAACAUGUUCAAAACUCGCCUUAAGACUGUCUAACUUUUGCAAUAUAUUUAUCCAUGUUUAGUGUUGCUUAUCUUGUGUUUUUCCCCCUUUUGUUACAGUUGUUGAAGCUAUUGAGUAUUUAAUAAAAAUUUCUUGCAAUUUGUAUUUUACUUUUCUUAAAAGCUAAACUAACUUCUCUUUGAGCACUUAAUCCAGCACUCUUAAAAAAAACUAUUUGUACUCUAAUUUCUAUCUUGACUCAAACUUUUCUAAUACAAUAGAACAUUUGCAGCACUUUUGUAUUACUGUUUCCUUAGAAUGAAUCGCUGAUGUUGUAUCCUUCCUCAGUUGCUUUGGAUGAACGCGUUGGCUAAAUGAAUAAAUGCAAAUGUUCUCCAAAGACAUCUCUCAGGACUCAAGGAAAAUUGUGGAAGCCAUAAUACAAUUAAUCUUUGUCGAUAGAUGUAUGUAUUAUAUUGAUCAUUCAACAGAAUUUCAAAAUGUCCUACUGGCACAAUAAAGAUUC